rnacentral:SRP_RNA from 1 species
UCGUGCUAAAUGGGGAGUUAGCGGUGCCCUGAUUUCGCCAUCAAGAAUGGCGGAUGACCCGAAAUCCGCUUAUGCGGGGUGAAUGCCCCAUAGAGCAGGUUAUUUCAGGGGCAACAGCAAGGUUUAAAGGGCGUUGAGGCUCGGGUCUUAUGAAAGCACCGUCUACAAACCCCGCCAGGUCCGGAAGGAAGCAACGGUAAGUAGAAAUGGACUGGUCAUAAGGGAGCCUGGGCUGAGUUCUUUGCCCUGCUGUUCCUGGAAUGAUCCGCGAAUUGGGGUUGCACGA